rnacentral:misc_RNA from 1 species
CAACCGGUUCCGAUCUUCUUGGAAACAGAUGGAAGCGCUCAUGACCUUGGCUAGACCAGGAUUGCCUCGGGUUGAGCGGUUUCUUUCCAGCGAUUGGAUAAGGAGUUGAGCUCCUCGGGAAAGCGUUCUAACAGUAGGGCCAAAAGACUCUCCUUCUAUAUUGGAAGAGAUCGGAGGAGGCGAACAUUCAAUCUGCUGAGGUGGAGA